rnacentral:rRNA from 1 species
GACGAACGCUGGCGGCGUGCUUAACACAUGCAAGUCGAACGGAAAGGCCCUGCUUUUGUGGGGUGCUCGAGUGGCGAACGGGUGAGUAACACGUGAGUAACCUGCCCUUGACUUUGGGAUAACUUCAGGAAACUGGGGCUAAUACCGGAUAGGAUCUCCUGCUGCAUGGUGGGGGUUGGAAUGUUUCGGCGGUUGGGGAUGGACUCGCGGCUUAUCAGCUUGUUGGUGGGGUAGUUGCUUACCAAGGCUUUGACGGGUAGCCGGCCUGAGAGGGUGACCGGCCACAUUGGGACUGAGAUACGGCCCAGACUCCUACGGGAGGCAGCAGUGGGGAAUAUUGCACAAUGGGCGGAAGCCUGAUGCAGCAAAGCCGCGUGCGGGAUGACGGCCUUCGGGUUGUAAACCGCUUUCGCCUGUGACGAAGCGUGAGUGACGGUAAUGGGUAAAGAAGCACCGGCUAACUACGUG